CAUUCGAUAAGCUCUCCAGGGCUCCAACAAUAUCCCCCAGUUAACUUCUUGUCCAUCAUGUUGAGAUCACCACACCAAAUCGGUCACCAACACUGCAACCACAACACCAAUAAAGAUUGUAAAUUUCUGUCUCGUCCAUCGUGACCAAUAAGAGGAAAGUCAUUGCCAUCAACUUCACCAUCACGGUGCCAAGUCAGACGUGUGAAUCGCUGUUUGAAUUCAUUUUCCUCAACACAAAAUCAGUCUUCACCACCUCAACCACGACACCAGUCAACCAUUAUGUUUCUCUUGUGGCAGGUAGCUAUCACCGACAACGUCAACGUCUUCAUCACCCAAACUGGCAGAAUAUCAUUCACGCUUAGUCCAAGUUCUAUUUUAUUUUCAUCAACAGCGGGGCAGUCUUCGCCACUUCAGUUCUUGAUGGCGGUCAAAACUCGGUUUCUCAUCGCUUCAGACCAGACCAGUACGGCCAAUACCAUGAAAGUCUACCACUUCAAAGAACAGUUGUUGUUCAGGAUCUGACAUUCGAUAAGCUCUCCAGCACUGCAACAAUAUCCCCCAGUUACGUCAUUGUUCAUCAUGUUGAGAUCACCACACCAAAUCGGUCACCAUCACUGCAACCACAACGCCAAUAAAGAUUGUAAAUUUCUGUCUCGUCCAUCGUGAUCAAUAAGAGGAAAGUCAUUGCCAUCAACUUCACCAUCACGGUGCCAAGUCAGACGUGUGAAUCGCUGUUUGAAUUCAUUUUCAUCAACACCAAACCGGUCUUCACCAUCUCAACCACGACACCAGUCAACCAUUAUGUUUCUCUUGUUGCAGGUAGCUAUCACCGACAACGUCAACGUCUUCAUCACCUCAAUUGACACAAUAUCAUUCACGCUUAGUCCAAGUUCUAUUUUAUUUUCAUCAACAGCGGGCAGUCUUCACCACUUCAGUUCUUGAUGCCGGUCAAAACUCGGUUUCUCAACGCUUCAGACCAGUACGGCCAAUACCAUGAAAGUUUACCACUUCAAAGAACAGUUGUUGUUCAGGAUCUGACAUUCGAUAAGCUCUCCAGCACUGCAACAAUAUCCCCCAGUUACGUUAUUGUUCAUCAUGUUGAGAUCACCACACCAAAUUGGUCACCAUCAUAUCACUGCAACCACAACACCAAUAAAAGAUUGUAAAUUUCUGUCGUACAUCUUAAUGACAGGAAAGUCAUCAUCAUCAGCUCCACCAUAAUGAUACCAGUUAAGGUUGUCCAUUGCGGUUUGAAUUCCCUUUCAUCAGCACCGAGCAAUCGUCGCCAUUUCAACCAUGACACCAAUCAACCAUUAAGUUUCUCUCGUUUUAGGUAAUUAUCACUGACAACAUGAAAGUCUUCAUCACUUCAAUUAAGACAUCAUCA